AGGAGAGCCUGAAACCAGACUGGGCUUCCAUUAAGAGAUCGACGAAGAUCCCGACUUGGAGUGACCUUCCUAAGCCUAACCUUGACAACAUCAAGCGGCCCUCUGUGCAUGGCUUCAGGUCAAGCCUCAGUGACCUCCGUGAGAACUUCCACGACAGAGUGACUUCUUUUGUGUGAGCGUGUGUGACCUCAGUGGAGUGGCCUCAGGUCAACGGGCACUGCGGGGUCCAGCAAGGUCAGAGGUCGAGGUCAGAGUCGAGAACACGAGUACGGAGACGAGUGAUGAAGAGAGGCAAGAUGAGGAGAGUGGAGUGGUACUCGUCCUGCUUCUGCUUUAAAGGCUCCGAGCCUCCGCAGAUUGAGCAUGUGGUGUCAGAACAGCCACAGAUGGUUCAGAUGGCACCACCGCCUAACAUGACAGACAAUUUGGCACCGGG